GUAAUAACGCCGAAAGGGGUACGUAAUACCGGAUAUUCUUUGCUUUUCUAUAAGUUAUAGCAAGCAAAGGUGGCCUCUGCAUAUGCUACUGCAUGAAGAGGGGUCUGCGUACCAUUAGCUAGUAGGUGGGGUAAUGGCCUACCUAGGCGACGAUGGUUAGCGGGUCUGAGAGGAUGAUCCGCCACACUGGCACUGGAACACGGGCCAGACUCCUACGGGAGGCAGCAGUGAGGAAUAUUGCGCAAUGGGGGAAACCCUGACGCAGCGACGCCGCGUGAGUGAAGGAAGGCCUUCGGGUCGUAAAGCUCUGUCAAGAGGAAAGAAGUGUACAAUGGCUAAUACCUGUUGUAUUUGACGGUACCUCUAAAGGAAGCACCGGCUAACUCCGUGCCAGCAGCCGC
rnacentral:rRNA from 1 species